rnacentral:rRNA from 1 species
UACGUAGGGGGCUAGCGUUGUCCGGAAUCAUUGGGCGUAAAGCGCGUGUAGGCGGUCCGGUAAGUCCGCUGUGAAAGUCGGGGGCUCAACCCUCGGAUGCCGGUGGAUACUGUCGGGCUUGAGUACGGAAGAGGCGAGUGGAAUUCCUGGUGUAGCGGUGAAAUGCGCAGAUAUCAGGAGGAACACCAAUGGCGAAGGCAGCUCGCUGGGCCGUUACUGACGCUGAGACGCGAAAGCGUGGGGAGCAAACAGG